rnacentral:rRNA from 1 species
AGCAGUAGCCGCGGUAAUACGAGGGGAGCUAGCGUUAUUCGGAAUUACUGGGCGUAAAGCGCACGUAGGCGGCUUUGUAAGUUAGAGGUGAAAGCCCAGAGCUCAACUCUGGAAUUGCCUUUAAGACUGCAUCGCUUGAAUCCAGGAGAGGUGAGUGGAAUUCCGAGUGUAGAGGUGAAAUUCGUAGAUAUUCGGAAGAACACCAGUGGCGAAGGCGGCUCACUGGACUGGUAUUGACGCUGAGGUGCGAAAGCGUGGGGAGCAAACAGGAUUAGAUACCCCGGUAGUCCCUGUCUCUUAUAC